AUUGAACGCUGGCGGCAGGCCUAACACAUGCAAGUCGAGCGAGCGGCGGGCGGGUGAGUAAUGUCUGGGAAACUGCCUGAUGGAGGGGGAUAACUCCUGGAAACGGUAGCUAAUACCGCAUACCAUCAGAUGUGCCCAGAUGGGAUUAGCUAGUAGGUGGGGUAACGGCUCACCUAGGCGACGAUCCCUAGCUGGUCUGAGAGGAUGACCAGCCGCACCGCAACUGAGACACGGUCCAUACUCCGACGGGAGGCAGCAGUGGUGAAUAUUGCACAAUGGUCGCAAGCCUGAUGCAGCCAUGCCGCGUGUGUGAAGAAGGCCUGCGGGUUGUAAAGCACUUUCAGCGGGGAGGCGUUACCCGCAGAAGAAGCACCGGCUAACUCCGUGCCAGCAGCCGCGGUAAUAC
rnacentral:rRNA from 1 species